rnacentral:rRNA from 1 species
UACGGAGGGUGCAAACGUUGCUCGGAAUCAUUGGGCGUAAAGCGCACGUAGGCGGUUUGUUAAGUCGGGUGUGAAAGCCCUGGGCUCAACCCAGGAAGUGCACUCGAAACUGGCAGGCUUGAAUAUGGAAGAGGGUCGCGGAAUUCCCAGUGUAGCGGUGAAAUGCGUAGAUAUUGGGAGGAACACCAGUGGCGAAGGCGGCUACCUGGACCGGUUCUGACGCUGAGGCGCGAAAGCGUGGGUAGCAAACAGG